rnacentral:misc_RNA from 1 species
AAGUCGUAACAAGGUUUCCGUAGGUGAACCUGCGGAAGGAUCAUUACUAAAGAUUCACGUCUUUGGUUCCAUCUCGUGCACUGUUUACCCCCUUCGGGACUUCGGUCUUGUUGGGGCCCCUUUUUUACCCUUUACUUUAUAUUUAUACUUCUGGUUAGGUGGGGAAUAUAAUAAAACUUUCAGCAACGGAUCUCUAGGCUCUU